AUUAGUAUAGCGCUGUUGAAGAUUGUUCAGUAUCAAGUUAUGAGUACCAGAGACCCCGCACGUCGAUUAUUACCCGCCCUCAAAUAGUCCCCGCACCUGUCAACUUUUAAGUGAAAUAGUAGCCGCCCUCUAAUUGUACCCGCAUAGUUUAAUUUUAAUAAUUUUGGGUGUGGCAUUAUACUAGCGCUAGCUGAACGUGCCAGCAUAUAAUGCCAGUAUCUAUGCGCUGAGCUUAAGAGCAAAUAGUUGAUCCCUUGGUUGGUUGAUCUAGUUGUCGAAAGCACUGUAAACAACCAGGAAGAUGAAUCUCACUUACUACCAGAGUACUACCGCUAUUGCUGGGCAUUCUCUCGUGAGUUAAAAAGCUUCCAGUAGCUAGAGCUGGGAUCAACUAUAAUACUCGCCUCCCGGAAAUGAAGGACUGUGUGGGCGUGGUAACCACACCCACAUCACGUCACGAUGAUUACAGCAUUAUGGGCGUGUCCAAAAUAAAAAUGGCGUCUUUUAAACAGUGGAUAUUACACUUCUAAAAUCUAAUGACUUAAGGAUGAUAAAUUGGGCUUUACCUCACGAACUCUGAGCAGUAGUAAAAGUAGAAACAAAACAAAUCCAGAAAUGGAAAGAAACCAGAUCAGAAACAUAAAAUGUGAGGAAGGUGACUUCUUAGGCGUAUGUAUGAAAGUGAAAAUCAGUGAUAAAGACGGAUUUUAAACACUUAUUUUUCUUGUAUUUAAUGAGCAACAAUCGCAAUGUUCAAUU